rnacentral:rRNA from 1 species
CAAAAACAUGUCCUUUAGGAUUGAAUUUAAGGUCUAGCCUGCCCACUGAGUUAUUAAAUGGCCGCAGUAUUUUAACUGUGCAAAGGUAGCAUAAUCAUUAGUCUUUUAAUUGAAGGCUUGUAUGAAUGGUUGGACAAAAUAUAUAUUGUUUCAUGUAAAUUAAUAGAAUUUUAUUUUUUAGUUAAAAAGCUGAAAUUUAAUUAAAAGACGAGAAGACCCUAUAGAUCUUUAUAGUUGUUGAGUUUAAUUUAUGAAGAAUGGUUUAUUUUUAAUUUAUUUAACUAUUUUAUUGGGGUGAUAGUAAGAUUUAUUUAACUCUUGUGUGAUUUAAUACAUAAAUUAAUGAUUAGUUGAUCCAGUAUUAUUGAUUAGUAAAAUAAGUUACCUUAGGGAUAACAGCGUAAUUUUUUUAGAGAGUUCAUAUCGAUAAAAAAGAUUGCGACCUCGAUGUUGGAUUAAGAGAUAAGUUUGGGCGCAGCCGUUCAAAUUUAAAGUCUGUUCGACUUUUUGAUUCUUACAUGAUCUGA